GCAGAGUCUAGUGGUAUGAUUCUCGCUUAGGGUGUGAGAGGUCCCGAGUUCAAUUCUUGGAAAUGGAUGCA
rnacentral:ncRNA from 15 species